rnacentral:rRNA from 1 species
UAGGGAAUCUUCCGCAAUGGACGCAAGUCUGACGGAGCAACGCCGCGUGAGUGAAGAAGGAUUUCGGUUCGUAAAACUCUGUUGUUAGAGAAGAACAGCGCAUAGAGUAACUGUUAUGCGUGUGACGGUAUCUAACCAGAAAGCCACGGCUAACUACGUGCCAGCAGCCGCGGUAAUACGUAGGUGGCAAGCGUUGUCCGGAUUUAUUGGGCGUAAAGCGAGCGCAGGCGGUCAAUUAAGUCUGAUGUGAAAGCCCCCGGCUCAACCGGGGAGGGUCAUUGGAAACUGGUUGGUUUGAGUGCAGAAGAGGAGAGUGGAAUUCCAUGUGUAGCGGUGAAAUGCGUAGAUAUAUGGAGGAACACCAGUGGCGAAGGCGACUCUCUGGUCUGUAACUGACGCUGAGGCUCGAAAGCGUGGGUAGCAAACAGG